UGGGGGAUAUUGGACAAUGGGGGGAACCCUGAUCCAGCGACGCCGCGUGAGUGAAGAAGUAUUUCGGUAUGUAAAGCUCUAUCAGCAGGGAAGAAAAGAAUGACGGUACCUGAAUAAGAAGCCCCGGCUAACUACGUGCCAGCAGCCGNGGUAAUCACUGUCU
rnacentral:rRNA from 1 species